rnacentral:rRNA from 1 species
UAUUUAAAGUCUAGCCUGCCCACUGAAAUUAUUUUAAAUGGCCGCAGUAAUUUGACUGUGCAAAGGUAGCAUAAUAAUUAGUUUUUUAAUUAAGAGCUAGUAUGAAAGGUUGGACGAAGUAAAUUCUGUCUCUAUUUAAUUUAAAUUAGAAUUUAAUUUUUAAGUUAAAAAGCUUAAAUGUUUAUAAAAGACGAGAAGACCCUAUAGAGCUUUAUAUUUUUAAUAAUAUAAUUAUAUUAAGAUUUAAUUAUUUUUUAUUAUUAAAAUUAUUUUAUUGGGGUAAUAGAAAGAUUUAAAUAAUUCUUUUUUAUUAUUUAUAUUUAUUUAUAGAAUUAUUGAUCCAAUUUUAUUGAUUAUAAGAUUAAGUUACCUUAGGGAUAACAGCGUAAUUUUUUUGAAGAGUUCUUAUCGAUAAAAAAGUUUGCGACCUCGAUGUUGGAUUAAAGAUUAUUUUUGGUGUAGAAGUUAAAAAUUUUGGUCUGUUCGACCAUUGAAUCUUUACAUGAUCUGAGUUCAGACCGGUGUAAGCCAGGUCGGUUUCUAUCUUUAUUUUUGUAUAAUAUUUUAGUACGAAAGGACCAAAUAUUAAAUAUAUUAAUAUUUAUAUAUUGAAUAUUAUU